GUGCCAGCAGCCGCGGUAAGACGAACCGUGCGAACGUUGUUCGGAAUCACUGGGCUUAAAGGGCGCGUAGGCGGGCUCGCAAGUCAGGGGUGAAAUCCCACGGCUCAACCGUGGAAGUGCCUUUGAUACUGCGGGCCUUGAGGGAGGUAGGGGCGUGCGGAACUUCCGGUGGAGCGGUGAAAUGCGUAGAUAUCGGAAGGAACACCGGUGGCGAAAGCGGCGCGCUGGACCUCUUCUGACGCUGAGGCGCGAAAGCCAGGGGAGCAAACGGGAUUAGAAACCCGGGUAGUCC
rnacentral:rRNA from 1 species